rnacentral:tRNA from 1 species
GCCUAGGUCGCUCAGUUGGUUAAGCAUCUGACUUCAGCUCAGGUCAUGAUCUCAGGGAUCUGGGAUCGAAUCCCACAUUGGGCU